GACGAACGCUGGCGGCGUGCUUAACACAUGCAAGUCGAACGGAAAGGCCCUGCUUUUGUGGGGUGCUCGAGUGGCGAACGGGUGAGUAACACGUGAGUAACCUGCCCUUGACUUUGGGGUAACUUCAGGAAACUGGGGCUAAUACCGGAUAGGAGCUCCUGCUGCAUGGUGGGGGUUGGAAAGUUUCGGCGGUUGGGGAUGGACUCGCGGCUUAUCAGCUUGUUGGUGGGGUAGUGGCUUACCAAGGCUUUGACGGGUAGCCGGCCUGGGAGGGUGACCGGCCACAUUGGAACUGGGAUACGGCCCAGACUCCUACGGGAGGCAGCGGUGGGAAAUAUUGCACAAUGGGCGGAAGCCUAAUGCAGCAACGCCGCGUGCGGGAUGACGGCCUUCGGGUUGUAAACCGCUUUCGCCUGUGACGAAGCGUGAGUGACGGUAAUGGGUAAAGAAGCACCGGCUAACUACGUG
rnacentral:rRNA from 1 species